rnacentral:rRNA from 1 species
UGGGGAAUAUUGGACAAUGGACCAAAAGUCUGAUCCAGCAAUUCUGUGUGCACGAUGACGUUUUUCGGAAUGUAAAGUGCUUUCAGUUGGGAAGAAAAAAAUGACGGUACCAACAGAAGAAGUGACGGCUAAAUACGUGCCAGCAGCCGCGGUAAUACGUAUGUCACAAGCGUUAUCCGGAUUUAUUGGGCGUAAAGCGCGUCUAGGUGGUUAUGUAAGUCUGAUGUGAAAAUGCAGGGCUCAACUCUGUAUUGCGUUGGAAACUGCAUGACUAGAGUACUGGAGAGGUAAGCGGAACUACAAGUGUAGAGGUGAAAUUCGUAGAUAUUUGUAGGAAUGCCGAUGGGGAAGCCAGCUUACUGGACAGAUACUGACGCUAAAGCGCGAAAGCGUGGGUAGCAAACAGGAUUAGAUACCCUGGUAGUCCACGCCGUAAACGAUGAUUACUAGGUGUUGGGGGUCGAACCUCAGCGCCCAAGCUAACGCGAUAAGUAAUCCGCCUGGGGAGUACGUACGCAAGUAUG